rnacentral:rRNA from 1 species
AGAGUUUGAUCCUGGCUCAGGACGAACGCUGGCGGCGUGCUUAACACAUGCAAGUCGAACGGUGAAGCCCUUCGGGGUGGAUCAGUGGCGAACGGGUGAGUAACACGUGAGCAACCUGCCCUUCACUCUGGGAUAACUAUCGGAAACGGUGGCUAAUACCGGAUAUGACGCAUCCAGGCAUCUGGUGUGUGUGGAAAGUUUUUCGGUGGGGGAUGGGCUCGCGGCCUAUCAGCUUGUUGGUGGGGUGAUGGCCUACCAAGGCGACGACGGGUAGCCGGCCUGAGAGGGCGACCGGCCACACUGGGACUGAGACACGGCCCAGACUCCUACGGGAGGCAGCAGUGGGGAAUAUUGCGCAAUGGGCGGAAGCCUGACGCAGCGACGCCGCGUGGGGGAUGAAGGCCUUCGGGUUGUAAACCUCUUUCAGCAGGGAAGAAGCGGAAGUGACGGUACCUGCAGAAGAAGCACCGGCUAACUACGUGCCAGCAGCCGCGGUAAUACGUAGGGUGCAAGCGUUGUCCGGAAUUAUUGGGCGUAAAGAGCUCGUAGGCGGUCUGUCGCGUCUGCUGUGAAAACUCGGGGCUUAACUCCGGGCCUGCAGUGGGUACGGGCAGACUAGAGUGCGGUAGGGGAGACUGGAAUUCCUGGUGUAGCGGUGAAAUGCGCAGAUAUCAGGAGGAACACCGGUGGCGAAGGCGGGUCUCUGGGCCGUAACUGACGCUGAGGAGCGAAAGCGUGGGGAGCGAACAGGAUUAGAUACCCUGGUAGUCCACGCCGUAAACGUUGGGCGCUAGGUGUGGGGCUCUUUCCACGAGUUCCGUGCCGCAGCAAACGCAUUAAGCGCCCCGCCUGGGGAGUACGGCCGCAAGGCUAAAACUCAAAGGAAUUGACGGGGGCCCGCACAAGCGGCGGAGCAUGCGGAUUAAUUCGAUGCAACGCGAAGAACCUUACCAAGGCUUGACAUGGGCGGUAAUCCGGCAGAGAUGUCGGGUCCGUAAGGGCCGUUCACAGGUGGUGCAUGGUUGUCGUCAGCUCGUGUCGUGAGAUGUUGGGUUAAGUCCCGCAACGAGCGCAACCCUCGUUCCAUGUUGCCAGCGGGUAAUGCCGGGGACUCAUAGGAGACCGCCGGGGUCAACUCGGAGGAAGGUGGGGAUGACGUCAAGUCAUCAUGCCCCUUAUGUCCAGGGCUUCACGCAUGCUACAAUGGCCGGUACAAAGGGCUGCGAUACCGCAAGGUG